UACGAUCAUCCCAGUGAUAUAUCGCCCA
rnacentral:sRNA from 1 species